UGAGGAAUUUUCGUCAAUGGGGGCAACCCUGAACGAGCAACGCCGCGUGCAGGAAGAAGGUUUUCGGAUCGUAAACUGCUUUUCUCUGGGACGAGCAAGGACGGUACCAGAGGAAUCAGCCUCGGCUAACUACGUGCCAGCAGCCGCGGUAAUACGUAGGAGGCGAGCGUUGUCCGGAGUUACUGGGCGUAAAGCGUACGCAGGCGGUCCAAUCAGUCUGUAGGGACAGGGCACAGCUUAACUGUGUCAGGCUUAUGGAAACUGUUGGACUUGAGGGCUUCAGAGGGAUGGGGAAUUCCGGGUGGAGUGGUGAAAUGCGUAGAGAUCCGGAAGAACACCAAAGGCGUAGGCACCAUCCUGGGGAGUCACUGACGCUCAUGUACGAAAGCUAGGGGAGCGAACGGGAUUAGAUACCCCCGUAGUCC
rnacentral:rRNA from 1 species